rnacentral:rRNA from 1 species
UGGGGAAUUUUGGACAAUGGGCGCAAGCCUGAUCCAGCCAUGCCGCGUGUCUGAAGAAGGCCUUCGGGUUGUAAAGGACUUUUGUCAGGGAAGAAAAGGCUGUUGCUAAUAUCAGCGGCUGAUGACGGUACCUGAAGAAUAAGCACCGGCUAACUACGUGCCAGCAGCCGCGGUAAUACGUAGGGUGCGAGCGUUAAUCGGAAUUACUGGGCGUAAAGCGAGCGCAGACGGUUACUUAAGCAGGAUGUGAAAUCCCCGGGCUCAACCUGGGAACUGCGUUCUGAACUGGGUGACUAGAGUGUGUCAGAGGGAGGUAGAAUUCCACGUGUAGCAGUGAAAUGCGUAGAGAUGUGGAGGAAUACCGAUGGCGAAGGCAGCCUCCUGGGGUAACACUGACGUUCAUGCUCGAAAGCGUGGGUAGCAAACAGGAUUAGAUACCCUGGUAGUCCACGCCCUAAACGAUGUCAAUUAGCUGUUGGGCAACUUGAUUGUUCAGUAGCGUAGCUAACGCGUGAAAUUGACCGCCUGGGGAGUACGGUCGCAAGAUUA